GACGGAGGAUGCAAGCGUUAUCAGGAAUGAUUGGGCGUAAAGCGUCCGCAGGUGGCAGUUCAAGUCUGCUGUCAAAGACCGGGGCUUAACUUCGGAAAGGCAGUGGAAACUGAACAGCUAGAGUAUGGUAGGGGCAGAGGGAAUUCCUGGUGUAGCGGUGAAAUGCGUAGAGAUCAGGAAGAACAUCGGUGGCGAAGGCGCUCUGCUGGACCAUAACUGACACUCAGGGACGAAAGCUAGGGGAGCGAAUGGG
rnacentral:rRNA from 1 species